AGUGCAGAGCUGGAGGAAAGAGCUGAAAGGUUGUUGGGGUGGGCAGAGGGGUAGGAGAAGCGAGACGGGGCUAGAGGAGGCGGAGCUGGGAGCGGUGAUGAAGGGGUAGCAGGGCGGGGCAGUGGGAAAGAGCUGUGGGAGGAGGAGCUGGGGGUAAGAAGCUGGGGCUGUGGCUGCAGCGGGGACUGGGUCAGAGCUUCUGGAGGAGCCGCCUGCAAGAGGAGGGCGUAGUUGUGGGAAAGAGCUGUGGGCGGAAAUGGUUAAGUGCCGGGUGGAGCAGGGGCUGGCGUCGGAAUAGCUGGGGCGGAGCUGCGGGAGGAGGAGCUGGGGGGCGGAACUGUGGGAGGAACAGCUGGGGCGGAGCUGAGGGAGGAGGAGCAGGGGGGCAGAACAGCUGGGGUGGAGCUGUGGGCGGAGCUGCAAGAGGAGAAGUUGGGGACGGACUUGCAGGAGGAAAAGCUAGGGGUGGAGCUGUGGGUGGAGUUGGGGGAGGGAGCUGAGGCCCUUCUGUGAUGCACCCUUAGGCAAGAGUCCAAACUUUCCCGCGGCGACCUAACUGCACCUCCAGUGUCUUCCCCCAGAGGGCACAGAAGCAGCAAGAAGGGCGGGAACACUUGACUGGGGUCCAUGCAGCUCUAGGCUGAGUCUUGCAGGGCUGAGCCCCCCAGGCCUGCUCUCCUGUGUCCUGGCCGCUCCGUCAGUGCCUGCCAGUGGGGUCCAGAGGGACCGUUUUUUUAACGCCUCUUUUGCAGAGACCUCGUCCGCACAGGGGCUUGUUCUUCUGUGUCUUUGCAGGGCUGUUUUGGACUCAGUAUUCACCUAAGCACUCCAAAUUACCCAGCACACCCUGCCUGCAUGGCGCUGCGCUGCACCUUCACUCUGGUCACGGGUCUGGCAGUCAGCUCACCAAUUCCUCCUGCUUCCCUGGGACUUGCCGGCUUUUAGCACUGCAAUUCACUCAGCAAACUGGGACUGUUGGUCACCCUACCUGGCAGCCAGUGAUAAGAUGACUGCCAGGGGCAUGAAGGGGAUGUGCUUCCAGGGCAUUUGCUGGCAGGGCGUCUCGUGAUCUCUUGGUAUUGGUGUGAGCACAGCCUGGCAGGAGAGGGCAGAUCUCCAUGCAAAGUAUGUCAGAAAGCAGAUGGAAGCCAGGCCCCCUCCUGAAAGAGGCUCCUUGAAGGCUCCUGGGACCACAUUAUCAUUCUCUUCACUCGAGAGAUGAGGACACUGAAAUUCAGAGAGGGGAAGUGAUUUGCCUCAGCUUGUACUAGUCCUGAACUCCCAUCCCUACCUCAGAAGAGACUCCUCUGUUCACAGAAGCUAAAGGCAGUUCCUUCCCAAUGGCAACUAUGUUUGGAUGUUGGAUCUACACUUUCUCAAGCACUGUGAUCUUCAAAUCAAAGGAGAUUUCUCCCAUUAUAUACUUCUUAUGAUCAACAAAUUCCAUCAUCUCCCCACUAAGAGAAAGUACUCCAAGAUGAUAGAAUGAUUUUAAAGUUAUGGGACUACAACAGCAGCCACAGGAACCUUGAGUAAGUACCAUGAACCCUGACCCUCAGCGUUAAUUUGUAAGCCUUUGGCAGUGAGAUGGAAUGUCUUCCUUCAGUUUGAAACAAAGGAAACCUAUUGCAUCGCACGUAAAUUUGUAUAUUGAUGCUAUAUUGACUUUGUAGCUGCCAUGCCUUCAUACAGACACCUCAUCCAGCCCCCACUGUUCCACUUAUUGUGAUGGUUUGUAUAUCUUUAUUUCAAAGAAGAUCUGUUUGAACCGUGUUUAAUUUCUUCUUUGACCUGCUUUCAUCACUGCCCAUGCCUACCCUGGUGGCAUUCUCAUCCACGAGACUACCACAUCCAUGCCACUAGGUGGCAUUCUCAUCCAUGAGACUACUGCACCCGUGCGCACGUCAAGAAGUAGCCAAGCCAUGGGCUGGAUUGUGCUUUUCCUGAGAGGAUGAAAGGCUUCAUGGAUACAUGCUAGUAUCCAUGUUCCUCUAUUCUCAAGUCAGGCACCAAGAUGAUGUUUCAUACCUGCCUGCCUUUCAAAGUCUCAUAAAUGUUCAUUGAAUAUCCACUCUAUGCAAGGCACUAGGGUAGUCACAGAGGCAAGGUUUGAGCUAAACUACAGGCCCUGCCCUCCAGGAGCUCCCGGUCUCAUGGCAGGGUGCAGAAGCCAGAAUAGAGGGCCAUGGCAUGGGAGAGAACUCUGCUGACCGGGAGCUCUGAAGGGUUAGGGGUCCAUGAGCCUGAUUUAUGGGGUCGUUGCCAUAGGAUUAGGGGCUCCCUGGCAUACAGUGAAUGGAGAGACUAGCAUUGCUGUGUUAUUUCACUGAGAGGGCACCAAUGUUCAGCCUCUGAGACCAGGGGAGGAAAGCAGUGGCCAUGAAUGUUCCCUCCCAUCCCGGGGACUGACUGGGCUCCUCCCACAGUCUCAGACACAGAGGAAGAAGUGUACUCACACUGCCCCAACACCAGUGAGUGGAAAUAUUUAUAGGUCUCUCAUUUGGUUUUAAUUUUUAUUUUUUUAUUUUUCAGAAAUUAAAAAAAAAAUCACACUCACAAAAUUAACCAUUACCCACAUUCCUACCAACAAGAAGUAACCAUUCUUAACCUUGUAAUAUGUUGGUUUCCAGAUUUAUGUUUAUGCUUUAAAAAAUUAUGCAGACAACAUAUUAGCACAUUGCCCCUUUUCUCAUUUGUUUUAAUCCAUGUUCUUCCCAUUUAUACAGGAGCAAUUCUUGCAUUCAGUUAUGGGAUACUAUAAAUGCCUAGUAUAAUGGCAGCAGAGAGAAUUACUAUGGUUGUAUACCUUUUCUCGCUCCUUGCUCCUCAAAUGCCUUAGAGUUUAAAAUCUAUUGUGGAAAGUUUGUGAAAUGCAGAACGGUGAAAAUAAACAAAUUACCAGUGGUUCUUUGGCUUCGGGAGAACUGUAAUUGAUGUUCAUUUUGGUAUAUUUCCCUCCAGUAUUUUUUCCAUAUGGUUUUAUUUUUAAAAAUUUUACCCCAUAUAUAUAUACAUAUAUAUAUACAUACUAACUACUCACAAAAUUAAAAAUUAAAAAAAUUAAAAAUGUAUAAAAUGAAAGAAAAAAAUUAGCCUCAUUUUGUAUUUACUAUUUUAUAAUCUGCCUUUUUGCUUAAUCUUCUUUGUCAUUAUAUGUUCUUCUACCUCAUGAUUUUUAAUAGCUGCCUAGUAUUCCAUUGUAUAGCCAUAGUUAUUUCAUACUUUAUAAUUGCUAUUGCUAGACAUUUAGUUGGUUUCCUUUUUUUGCUUUUAUAAUAAUGUGUGUUCCUAUACAUAAAUCUUGUAAAUGUCUGAUUUUAAAGAUAAAUUUCUAGCAGCAAAACUUCUUAGUUAAGAACAUAUACAUUAAAAUACACUCUUAUUAUAUUUUUCUUUACCAAAGUAAUAUAUGUUUAUUAUAGAACAUGUACAAAAUCACAGAUAUACAAAAAAAACAGCAUAUAAGUUACUUGUAUUCUUCCCACUCAGAGACAGCCACUAUUAACAUUUUAUUGUAACCAUCCAGCCUUCUUUUCUCUGUAUUCUACAUGCUCUUUCAUAAGCUUUUUUUAUUGAAUGUAUUCAGAAUACCUAAGUUCAUUGUUCUUUUUUACCUUCACUGGUUACAUGGCAUUUCACUGAAUGAACAAACCAGAAUUUGUUUGAUGAAUCUUCUAAUGCUGGACAUUUCAGUUACUUUCUGUUUUUCUGUACUAUAAACAAUGCAGAGGUAAGUAGUGUGUGACUACACCUUUCCAAGUCCUUGAUUGUUCCCUGUGAAGAAAUUCCUAGACGUGCAACUGUUGUUUCACCUGUAUGUUAAUUUUUAAGGCUUUUCAUGGGUAUUACUAAAUGUUCCUAUAACAAUUUUUAUCUUAGAGGCAGAAUAUUGGUAUAUCCUUUUUUUCCCAAAUUCUUGAUAUUACUAUUUUGCCAAUUUGACUACAAAGAAUUGAUUAUCAUAUUUUAAAAUUAACAUUUAUUUAAUUACAAGUAAAACUGAACUAUUUUUUUCUUUUUUGCCCAAUUUUAUGUUUUGGUAUAGGUUUUUCCUUGUUUAUUAAUAGAUUUAAAAAAUAAAUUUGAAAUAUUAAUUUCUUGUCAUUUGUUCAGGUUUUCUCCUUCAACUGAUUGUUGUGAUGAGUUAUAUGUCUAGACUUCCUGAUAGUAAAUUGCACUCCUGAAAUAAUCCCUCCUUGCUCAUAAUGUCUUGCCAGAUUUGGCUUGCUGGCAUUUCAUUUAGGAUUUUUGCAUCUAUAUUCCUAAGUGACAUUAGUCUUCAGUUUUCUUUCUCUGUGUAUUUGUGUGGGUGUUCGUCAGGUUUUGUGAUCAGGAUAACUUUAAUUUUAUAAAAUGAAUGGGCUUAUUCCUUCUUUUAUUUUAUAAUGAGAACCGCUUUUAGAGCAUGGAAAUUACCUGUUCUUUGUAAAUUAAAAAGAACUUGCUCAUAAAGCUGUCUGGGCACUGUAACAAUCAUCAGAGGAAAAUGUGUAACACCCUAUUUUUCCCCACGUUUUCUACUUCUUUGUGAUUCCAGUUAGCUAAUUUUCCUAGAAAAUUGUCCUUUUUAUUGAGAUUUUCAAACUCGUUACCAUCUUUACAGUUUUAUUGAGAUAUGCAUACAAGUCACCCAUUUAAAGUGAUUUUUAGUGUAUUCAGAGCUCUAGACCAUCACCACAACCACCACAAUAGAUUUUAUAACAUUUUGAAAACCCCAGAAAGAAACCCCAUGCCCAUUAGCAGUCACCCUCUAUUUCCCCUUAAUUCCCCCCCUUGUCCUAGAUAACCACUAAUCUACUUUCUAUCUCCAUAGAAUUCCCCUAUUCUGGACCUUUCAUAUAAAUGGAAUCACACACUGUAUGGUCUUCUAUGGCAGCCUUCUUUCACUUAGUGUAACGUUUUCAGAGUUCAUCCAUACUGUAGCAUGUAGCAGCACUUUAUUCUCUCUCUUUUUUAAGUUUUCGUUUUUGAUUAACAGACUACUUUUUAGAGCAGUUUUAAGUUUACAGAAAAUUGAGCAGAUAGUACAGAGAAUUCCCUUAUACUGCCCUCCUCUCCACUCCUGACCAUAAUUUUGCCCACAAACAUCUUGCAUUGGUGUGGUAUAUUUGUCAUAAUCAAUGAAUUGAUAUUGACACAUUAUGAUUAACUGAAGUCCGUACAUUUGGGUUCAUUCUUUGUGUUGUACAGUUCUAUGGGUUUUGACAAAUGUCUAAUGUCAUAUAUCUACCAUUACAGUAUCAUACAGAGUAGUUUUGAUGAAAAGGUAAAACACAGGGGACUUUUAGGGCAGUCUUUCCCUCCUCCCUGUGAACACCUACCAACCACUGAUCUUUUGAUUUGCCUUUCCCAGAAUGUUAUAUAAUUGGAAUAAUAUAGCAUGUAAUCUUUUCAGAGGCUUCUAUCACUAAGUAAUAUGCAUGUAAGCUUCUUCCCUGUCUUUCUUUGGCUUAAUGGCUCAUUUCUUUUUAUGGCUAAGUAAUAUUCUAUUGUAUGGAUUUACCACAGUUUAUCCCUUCACCUUUUAAAGAACGUCUUGGUUACUUCCAAUUUGGGGCAAUUAUGGAUAAAGCUGCUUCAGUCAUUUGUGUGCAGGUUUUUGUGGGCACAUAAGUUUUCACCUGAUUUAGGUAAAUACCAGUGAGCAUAGACUAUGUUUAUCUUUGUAAGAAACUGCCAAACUGGCUUCCAAAGUGGCUUUGUAAUUUUGCAUUCUGACCAGCAAUGUAUAAGAGUUCCUGUUGCUUUACAUCCUCGCCAUCAUUUGGUGUUGUAAGUUGUUUGGAUUUUUGUCAUUCUGAUAGGUUUGUACUGGUAGUUCAUGGUUUUAAUUUGCAAUUCUCUGAUAACAUACGAUGUUGAGCAUCUUUUUACAUGCUUAUUUGCCAUCCAUACAUUUUCUUUGAUGCGAUGUCUGUUUAGAUAUUUUUCCCAUUUUUAAAUUGAUUGUUUUCUUUUUUUGUAUAGUGGAUACAAAUCCUUUAUCAGAUAUGUGUUUUGAAAAUAUUUCUCACACUCUAUGGAUUCUGUUUUCAUUCUCUUAACAGUACCUUUCACAGAGCAUAAGGUUUUUGGUUUAAUUUUACUAAAGUCCAGUUUCUUUUUAUGGCUAAUAUUCCAUCAUAUGGAUAUACCACAUUUUGUUUAUUCAUUUAUCACUUGAUGGACACUUGAGUUACUUCCUUUUGGCUAUUGUAAAUAAUGUUGUUAUGAACAUUUGGUAGAAGUUUUUUUUUUGAAACGGAGUUUUGCCCUUGUUGCCCAGGCUGGAGUGCAAUCUCCGUGAUUCUCCUGCCUCAGCCUCCCAAGUAGCUGGGAUCACAGGCAUGUGUCACCAUGCCUGGCUAAUUUUGUAUUUUUAGUAGAGACGGGGUUUCUCCAUGUUGGUCAGGCUGGUCUCGAACACCCGACCAAGGCGAUCCACCUGCCUCAGCCUCCCAAAGUGCUGGGAUUACAGGCGUGAGUCACCGUGCCCGGCCUGGUAGAAGUUUUUAUAUGAAUAUAUGUUGUCAUUUCUCUUGAGUAGAUACCCAGCAGUAGAACUGCUGAGUCAUAUGAUAACUCAAUGUUUAACUCUUAAAAAAAAAAUAAAAAAAAAACUGAACAACUUUUCCAAAGCGGCUGCACCAUUUUAUAUUGCCAUGCCUCCUACAUUGCUAGUGGCAUUUUACGUUGUCACUAGCAGUGUAGACGGGUUCCGUUUUCUCCAUAUCCUCACCAAUGCUUGUUAUCAGUAUUUUUUGUUAUAGCCAUUGUAGUGGGUGUGAACUGGUGUCUCAUUAUGAUUGACUUGUAUUUCCAUAAUGACUCAUGACAUUGAACAUAUUUUCAUGUGCUUAUUGACCAUUUGUAUAUCUUCUUUGCCUCUUCACUUUUGAUAUUCUUUUCCAUGGGAAUUUCAUGGAUUUCACUAAAAUCUUUGUGCAGAUGAUUUCCAAUAUUUACUUCCAACUUUGACCUUUCUCCUGAGAUUGUCGCAGUUUCCCAUCUGUUUCUUAGCCAUUAAUGCCCUAAUUGCAGAAUCAGUGUGUCACAACUGAAAUUCAUCAUCUUUCCUCCCAAUCAAUUUAUUCUUCCUCUGUGUUCCUUAUUUCUGUUAAUCAUAGAUUAACUAAUCUUCUAAUGAUUAGACUAUUCUUCUAAUCAUCCAGACUUUCAAUUUGGCAUCAUAUUUACAUGUAAGAGAAAUGAGAUAGGAAGGAAUCAGUUUGUUGCCAAGUUCCACAUUACUUUCAUAAUAUUUUGCAUAUGUUUUCUCUUUACUUUGUAUUCUCUCCUUCCUGAUCUCUAUCCUCUUCUGACUUUUUUGAUCCCUUACUCUUCUGGUUCUCCUGUCUUUGAUCGUUUUAUUUCAGGUUAUUCUUAUCUGCCCCUUAAAUUACCUAUCUGCAAGAUCUCAGCUCAGCCUCCUGAGUAGCCAGUACCAUAGGUGCACACCACCAUGCCCAGCUAAAGGGUUUCACCAUGUCGCCUAGGCUUGUCUUGAGCUUCUGAACUCCUGAGCUCAAAUGAUCCACCUGCCUUGGCCUUCCAGAGUGCUAGGAUUAUAGGCAUGAGCCACUGUGUCCAACCGUCCACAAUCUUUUACAAAUCAAUGUUUACCUUCCUUCUUGGCUAUUUGUAUGUAGUCUUAAGAUAUGAACUAUCACUUACACACAUAACUCCCAAAUAAAUAUUUCUAGCCUUGGAAUAUUCUGAGAACUUCAGACACAUAUAUCAAACUAUCUGUAGGACAGAUGUCCAACUGGAUAGAUGGACAUUUGUAGAAUAGAUGUGCAAUUGGAUACAUGUCCAAACUUAACUCUCCCCACCUUAGCUGCCCCCAAACUUGUUCCUCUUGUCAUAUUUCCAGUCAAUGGCAUGACCAUCCAUCUGGGUUCUCAGGACAUACAUCUGACCAUCAUUCCUCCUUUCUCCCUCUCCCCUAAAGCCAAAUAUUCACCAAGUCAGUACUAUUCUAAAACUCUCUUUAAUAUUCUGUCUUUAUCCCCAUGCUGCUUCUUUGUCCAGGCUUUUAUCAUCUCUCAUUUAGACUAUUUCAGUGAUUUUCAAUCUUGCCUUUCUGUCUAGUCUCUUACCAUGCCCCCCAACCCGCUUCGUGCAGUCUACUGACACAAAGUGAAUUUCUAAAUUGAAAAUUUAGUCAUGCCAUUUCACUGCAAAGAACAAAUCAAAAUAAGAACAAGUACAACAAUAUUUACUGUCUCUCUGGUGGCUGCUUACUUUUCUAAAGGAUAUAGUUUAAGCUCUUUAGCCUGUCAUAUUGUACUGCUCCCUACCUACUUCUUCAGCUUUGUCUCUUGUCACUCCAGAAAUAUUCUUCUGUCUUUUAAUGUGUUCCCUCUGCUCAGAUGCUUCUUCCUGCCUUCUUUACUUAGUGAACCACCAUCUGAGAUUUCUUGGAGGUAGACACGAUCACAUGGCUGGAAUCCAAAAGGGAUGGUCGAUAAGAACCGGCUUCAGUGAAUGUGGAUUUACAUACUUUCUGGGAGCUCUGUAUGUAAAGGAAAUGCUUCCAGCCCUUCCUCGCUUGGCUCUUGGCAUAUAACUUCUGAUGGCUCUCCUGCUUUAGUAGUCACUUUUGGAGCAAUGAGAGAUCAGAUUCCUUUAGUGGCCUGGGAAUGAUGUCACAUGGUGUUAUUGAUAGAAGCCUGCAGAGCUUGGGAUUCUGAGAAGCAAUCUUCAGACUAGAACUUACCCCAAGAGAAUGAGCAACUCUAUGGUAGAGGGCGAGAGCCUCGAACAGGCCCAAUAACCUCUAGUCCAAGGACUUUGGGAAGUUUUAUGGUCCCUUCUAGGCCUACAGGAUACAAGCACUCAGGGAUAGCAGUGUUUUUGGGUAAAGAACAGUGCGGGGCUCUGGGCUCAAAUUCCUGGGGGCAAACAAAUCAAUUUGGCUCCCCUCAGCUCUGUGGGACUAAACUUUAAAACUGCCCCUGGGAGUGACCUCCCCAGGAUAAUCUCAGGGUACUCAGUACUCACCUGAGUAGACAAGCCCCAGGAAGACCUGGAUGAGUCUUUGGAAGUCAUCUUUUUAGCUCAGUUUUGCCUGCUCCACCAGGAUCCACACCCUUUACUAUGGAAAUCUGAGUACGAGUUAGGGCAGAUGUCAGUGAGGAGAAGGAUUGGAGCUCAGUGACCUUUCCUCAGUAGUGCUUACUUGUGAAGCCUGUGUCCUUAGGAAAUUAGCGCUGCCUCUGCCAAAGUGGCUUUUUACUGUGUUAUCCUUUCCCAGAGUGCACUUCCAGUCUCGUUUAGGCCAGUGUAGUUCCUGUUGAGUUAAGUGGCUGUGAAAAAAAUGUUUUCUGAAAGGAAUUCGGAGGAAAGAUACCUUAUUCCAGUGAACAGUUUGCGAACUCAGGAGACACAGCCUUUUGUAUAAAAGGAAGUUAUGUUUCAGAGAACAAAGAGAGUGUUUGGGUUUUAUAGCAAAAGUUUCUGCCUGAGUUCCUAAUCAGGUUUAUUUAUGCAAAUGAAAUAUUGAAAUGGGCUUAGUUCUAGUUGGUUGAUGCAGCUAAGUUCUGAUUGGUAAAUACAGCUAAGCCCUAAUUGGUUGGUAUAGGUGAGCUCUGAAAGUCCCAAAGUUAAAGAGAGGUGGGAGUUUUUGGGAAACUCAGAGUGACCUUUAGUCAGCAAAUGGCUGCCUGGCUGUAUUUUAAAUUUAGGCCCAGUUAGCCACUUGGGAUCCAUCUUGAAGGAUUGACUCUUUUAGGUUCAUAUUUGUUCACAUGUGGCUUUCUUCCUCUGAUACCUUGGUGAGCCUAAUGGAGACUAAAAGCUUAGUUAACUUUGGCUUUAGGGAAUGAAAUUAUUUCUGGCUGAGACACUAAGUAGAAGCUAAAAUUGCAGAAAUAUCUUUAUAAUACUAUGUGAGAGUUUACAAAAACUCUCACAUACAUUAUUCAAUUUAUUAAAUCUUCACACAAGCUAGUGCCUGUCCCUUAGUAAUCACAUGUUUAGUGUAUGAAUGAACAUGGAGGUUUUUGUUUUAUUUUGCUUUGUAGAGAGACAGGGUGUCUCUCACUCUUGCCCAGGCAGGAGUGCAGUGGUGCGAUCAUAGCUCACUGCAGCCUUGAACUUCUGGGCUCAAGUGAUCCUAAUGCUUCAGCCUCCCAAGUAGCUAGGACUAAAGGCAUGCACCAUCACUAAUGCCUGGCUGUUUUUUUUUUUGUAGAGACAGGGUUUCCCGGGCAUGUCUUGAACUCCUGGCCUCAAGUGGUCAUCCUGCCUCAGCCUCUCAAAGUGCUGGGAUCAUAGGCAUGAGCCACCACACCUGGCCAAACGUGGGGAUUUAUUGUGCCUAUUUUACAGUUUGGCGAACUGAGGUCUAAGCAGCUGAAUUGAGUUUCCUAAAAUUCAACUCUACAGUUAGCCAAGUAUGGAGCCUACACUUGAAAUUAGAUCCAUUUCAGGUGAACAUUUACUAAGCAUCUACUAAGUGACAGGUACUUAUCAGUGAUGAAUAAACAUGUUCCUUGGUUUUGAGAGCUUAUAGGCUUGUCAGAAUAUGAGCAAAUAAUUUCAACACAAUAUGCUAAGUGUCAUGAUAGAGAACUUUGUGUGAUGCCGUGGAGUCAUACGGAGGGGCACCUAAUCCAGUCUGAUAAUGUUGUGAAAGACUACCUGAAGAAGUGACACCUCAGUUAAGUUUUGAAGGUUCAUUGGAGAUUGGCCAAGGGUAAAGAUAUUCUAGGCUGAGAGAUCAGCCCCAGUCAGGGCACAGAGGUGCAAACCAGUAUGGUAUGUUUUUAGGAUUGCUGGAGUAUUCCUUGCCAAGGGGAAAAUGGCAGAAAUGAUGACUUAGAGAGGUAGGUGAGAUUCAGAUCAUUGAGUACGUAGACUUUGCUUUGUACACCAUUAGUUACUACACAUUGCUGAAUUAUUGAAAUCAUCUGGGGAACAGGCAUUUUCUUAGUUAGCUAGAUUUGAGAGUCACAUGUGGAGGCAAUGAGUGACAUAGACUGCCCUGUUGCAUCACUCUGGUGACAGUCUACAUGGAGGCAGGUAGAUUUGAAAGGGAUGCUACUAGACGCCUAGAGACCAUUUUGAAGGUCACUGAAUUCAUCUAAGAGAUAUGGUGGACUGUAUAAGGCAGUAGCAGUGAGGACAGAGAGGAAGAGGCAGAUGCAAAAUGGUGAAACUCUUACGAUGUUGUGGGGAGGAUUGGUGAGGGAGAGAAAAGUGUCUAAGGUAAUUCUCCAGGUUUCUGGCAUGGCUGUCUGAGUAGAUGGUGGUAUUUUUGACCAAGUUCAGGAAUGAACAGUGGAGAUAGAAUGUACAAAAAAAUUGGAUAAAUUCAGCUUGGAACCUGCUGAAUUUGAGGUACUGUGGGACUUCCAGAGGGGAGAGCAGCUAUUUUGUUCUGGAACUCAGGAUGUGUCUAGGCUGGAAAUACAGGUCAAGGCCUCUAUGUCUGGGCAGUUUAAACCCAAGUGAAUAGUAAGACAUCUCUCAGAGAGAAUGUGUGGAGAGUGCAUCUUCAAUAAUUCUACCCCCUUUCGACUUCAAAGGCUGUUCCCAUGGGGAAGCAGAAGCAGCGUAUUUCUCUCUCUCUCUUUUUAAUGUUUGAGGCAACAAGGGAUACUGAAAAUGCUAUAAAAGGUGGAGUUAGAAAACCUGAGUUCAAGCCCUGCUUCUGACACUUCACCACUCUGCAACCGUCAGUAGUUCCUGAGCCUCUCUUAGCCUCCAGGUCUUCAUCUGUGAAACAAGGGUAGUAGGAAUAACUGCUUCACAGGAUUAUUAAGAUAGUCCAAUGAGAAUGUGUAUGUGGAAAGUGCUGUGUAAAGAACCAUAGAAACAUCAUUUUUGUUGUUGUUGUUGUUUGUUUGUUUGUUUUGUUUUUUUCCCCUAGAAACUUGGACCAAUAUGUAGGAAUUACGGGGAGACAGAUUUGGUCCAAUAUAAGGAAAGACUAAUACUUUGACUGUUGGAUGAUGGGAAGAGCUUUGGGAGAUGGGAAGCUCUGAGGCUCUGGAUAUCCUUAAGCAAAAGCCAGGUUUCUGGGCAUAUGCUGAGCGUUUUGUUGUCAGGGGUUGGGUCAUCCUGCAUGACCUCUGAGUUACCUUUCAGGCUCAGAUAGAAUUUGAGUUACUAGAACACUUAUCUACCUAUUUUCUGAAAUUUUCUACACUAAGUAGAUUUUUUAAAUUGUAAAAGCAAUACAAGCGCAUGGUCUUUCCCUUUGACUCUCUUAAAGUACUGGGCAUUUUGGAUCCUAAGUGGAGACUUGGUUUAUAUACCCUGAAUAAUGGGGCAAACUGCCUCAUGUCUUACUGCAUGAGGCAUUUAUGGACAGACAUUUUCUUAAUGUUCUUUAAUGAGAUCUCUUUAAAAUAAUAAUUUUUUUCUUAUUUUCAAGCAGAAAUGAUAUUAUAAAAAGCUAACAAAAUAUUGCCAAGUAGAGGUCUUGAUCGAGUAUACUCCAAUGAGUAGGUAAAGGUCAUUUGAAAUCAGCACACUAAUUAUUUAUAUGCAAAUGAAUUUGUUAGAGAGCUUGGAAAGAGUUGUUCUCUGAACUGGGUUAAACAUCCCCUAAGAGCUCAUGUUUAUACUCUUAAUUUACUCAGAAACCUGUUGUUGCUCUUUCUUUUUUUUUUUUUAAUUAUACUUUAAGUUUUAGGGUACAUGUGCACAUUGUGCA
rnacentral:lncRNA from 1 species